CAGUCGCCACGGUAAUACAGAGGGUGCGAGCGUUAAUCGGAUUUACUGGGCGUAAAGCGUGCGUAGGCGGCUUUUUAAGUCGGAUGUGAAAUCCCUGAGCUUAACUUAGGAAUUGCAUUCGAUACUGGGAAGCUAGAGUAUGGGAGAGGAUGGUAGAAUUCCAGGUGUAGCGGUGAAAUGCGUAGAGAUCUGGAGGAAUACCGAUGGCGAAGGCAGCCAUCUGGCCUAAUACUGACGCUGAGGUACGAAAGCAUGGGGAGCAAACAGGAUUAGAGACCCCAGUAGUCCCUGUCUCUUAUAA
rnacentral:rRNA from 1 species